GUGAUCGCCUCAGUGGCACGUACGCUAAAAUUGGAACAGUACAGAGAAGGUUCGCAUGGCCCCUGCGCAAGGAUGAUGCGCAAAUUCGUGAAGCAUUUGUAUUUUUA